UGAAGUGGAUCACCAGAGGAUGAGCAGCAUUUGGUCCUUCAUACAAAAGCAACCUGAUUUUGGUUCUUCUGGAAUCUCAAGAAACUAAUUUUCUAGUCUGGUCACCAUAACAUGGAGGAAAGAUACCACUCGCCAUAGCAGCUGCAGCUCCAGCUCCCAAGGUGCACCGUGAUGACACAGCUGCCUCUGUGUAUGGGAAGAUCCAACAGCACUGCAAAAACUGGUGCUGGGUACUCGCUCAACCUGUGUAUGUUUCCAAACCGUUUGGGUUUCAUCGUGCACAAAGACAAAGGGUGAGAACGUGAACCCAACCAAACAAGGUGGAAGCAGCUAUUAAGAACAAGAAUACGUUUUAAAAUGCUGGAUUUCACACCAGUGUCUUGUUCUGAAAAAAAAAAUAAAUUGUUACCAAUUUCUGCCAUUAUGAAUCAUAGAAUCACUGAAUGGUUUGUGCUGGAAGAUUUCUUAAAGAUCGUCUAGUUCCAUUUCCCCUGCCAUAGGCAGGGACACCUUCCACUAGACCAGGUUGCUCAAAGCUCUAUCUAGCCUGGCCUUGAACACUUCCAGGGAUGGGGCAUCCACAUCUUCUCUGGGCAACCUCUUCCAGCACCUCACUACACUCAUAGUAAAGAACUUCUUCCUCAUAUCUAUUCUAAAUUCACCCUCUUUCAGUUUGAAGCCAUUAACUUUUGUCCUAUCACUAUAAGCCCUUGUAAAAAUUUCCUCUCUGUCUUACAAGCCCCUUUUAGGUACUGGAAGGCUGCUAUACGGUCUCCCUGG